GCGACUAUACUGUGAAACUGCGAAUGGCUCAUUAAAUCAGUUAUGGUUUAUUUGAUGGUACCUACUACUUGGAUAACCGUAGUAAUUCUAGAGCUAAUACAUGCAGGAAGACCCGACUUCGGAAGGGUUGUAUUUAUUAGAUAAGAAACCAAUCCAGCUUGUUGGUUGCGUGCCGAGUCACAAUAACUGCUCGAAUCGCACGGCUCUACGCCGGCGAUGGUUCAUUCAAAUUUCUGCCCUAUCAGCUUUCGAUGGUAGGAUAGAGGCCUACCAUGGCGUUAACGGGUAACGGAGAAUUAGGGUUCGAUUCCGGAGAGGGAGCCUGAGAAAUGGCUACCACAUCCAAGGAAGGCAGCAGGCGCGUAAAUUGCCCGAAUCCUGACACAGGGAGGUAGUGACAAGAAAUAACAAUACAGGGCUACUUCUCGUCUUGUAAUUGGAAUGAGUACAACUUAAAAAAUCUUCACGAGGAUCAACUGGAGGGCAAGUCUGGUGCCAGCAGCCGCGGUAAUUCCAGCUCCAAUAGCGUAUAUUAAAGUUGUUGCAGUUAGAACGCUCGUAGUCGGAUUUCGGGGCGUUCCGACCGGUCUGCCGAUGGGUAUGCACUGGCCGGAGUGUCCUUUUUGCCGGAGACCGUGCCUACUCUUAACUGAGCGGGGGCGG
rnacentral:rRNA from 1 species